rnacentral:rRNA from 1 species
UACAGGGGGUGCAAACGUUGCUCGGAAUCAUUGGGCGUAAAGCGCACGUAGGCGGUUCGUUAUGUCGGAUGUGAAAGCCCUUGGCUUAACCGAGGAAGUGCAUCCGAAACUGGCGAGCUAGAGUACUAAAGAGGAUCGCGGAAUUCCCGGUGUAGAGGUGAAAUUCGUAGAUAUCGGGAGGAACACCGGUGGCGAAGGCGGCGAUCUGGGUAGAUACUGACGCUGAGGUGCGAAAGUGUGGGGAGCGAACAGG